GGCCUUAGGGUGGUAGUCAUGUUGAAUUGCAAAUUCAAAGGUGUAGAUAAAAGUUCUACUGAGGCCU
rnacentral:tRNA from 1 species